rnacentral:tRNA from 2 species
GUGCCUGUAGCUCAGCGGAUAGAGCGUCUGCCUACGGAGCAGAAAGUCGGGGGUUCGAAUCUCUCCAGGCACA